UACGAAGGGGGCUAGCGUUGUUCGGAUUUACUGGGCGUAAAGCGCACGUAGGCGGAUCGUUAAGUCGGGGGUGAAAUCCUGGAGCUCAACUCCAGAACUGCCUUCGAUACUGGCGAUCUUGAGUCCGGAAGAGGUGAGUGGAACUCCUAGUGUAGAGGUGAAAUUCGUAGAUAUCAGGAGGAACACCGGUGGCGAAGGCGGCCACCUGGACAGUUACUGACGCUGAGACGCGAAAGCGUGGGGAGCAAACAGG
rnacentral:rRNA from 1 species